GACGAACGCUGGCGGCGUGCUUAACACAUGCAAGUCGAACGGAAAGGCACUGCUUUUGUGGGGUGCUCGAGUGGCGAACGCGUGCGUAACACGUGAGUAACCUGCCCUUGACUUUGGGAUAACUUCAGGUAACUGGGGCUAAUACCGUAUAGGAGCCCAUGCUGCGUGGUAGGGGUUGGAUAGUCUCGGCGGGUGGGGAUGGACUCGCGGCUUAUCAGCUUGUUAGUGGGGUAGGGGUUUACCAAGGAUUUGACGGGUAGCCGGCCUGAGAGGGUGACCGGCCACAUUGGGACUGAGAUACGGCCCAGACUCCUACGGGAGGCAGCAGUGGGGAAUAUUGCACAAUGGGCGGAAGUCUGAUGCAGCAACGCCGCGUGCGGGAUGACGGCCUUCGGGUUGUAAACCGCUUUCGCCUGUGACGAAGCGUGAGUGACGGUAAUGGGUAAAGAAGCACCGGCUAACUACGUG
rnacentral:rRNA from 1 species